CCCGGGUGCUCUCUCCGGGUACUCUUCUCUCCACUGCCUGGAACGUACCGUCCUGGCCAUACCUAACCUCUACUGUUUUCUGCGGCUAGCGCCCUUGCUGAUGUUCCUCAACAUCGGAGCACGUAGCCGCUUACGCAGACUUCGAUGUCAUUCAUCUUGAGCGAGGUCGAUUAUUGUUCUCUUUCGGGUACCUUAUGUCCGUACGAGUAUGAUGUCACGCAGUACUUAGGAGCACAGCAGCCUCUGUUAAAAACCAUAGGAAAAUGUUCAAAAUUAUUUCUCUUCGCUUAAUUGGUUGAAUUUGUGAAAAUUUUUAUAUUAGUUUAUAAUAACUUUAAUUGUUCGAAAAUGGACAACCUUUCCGAACGAAUACGUAUAACUUUUUGAAACAAAAUAUCUGUGCCAAUGUUCAGACUAAGGUUAUGUAGAGUACAUACUAAUAUUUUACUAUGCAUGUUUUAUAUCGUUGAAAUGGGAGUAAUUUUCCUCUUCAUUUAAAAGAAACGACAUUCGUUACUUAAAAUAAAAUUUCUCCUAUAAUUAGUAAUACCAACGAAAUUUUAGAACCGUAUAAUAAACGUUAUAUUAAUAAACACCAAGAGAAGUUGAAUCCACGGUUUUAUAAAGCAUAUUAUGACUUCUAUGUAGCACAAAGAAUACAAGCAAUAACGUAGAUGGUACGUGAGGAAUGGGGGAAUUGUAUAUACAUAUACAAGUUAAACGAGAGUGUAUUCUUUAUAUAUAUUCGUUAUAUAUAUACAUAUAUAUAUAUACACAUAUAUAUAAAGAAUACACGACCCGUAAAAAUCCAUAUUUAAAACACCAGGACUUCACCUUCAUGAGAGAAAUUAAUAAUUCGUCCCUUUUCUUUUUUUGCUUCACAGUUUUAUACCAGCCUGUCCAGAGUUCUAUCUGGGAAAUUUAGAUUUCGUUGGAAUUUCAAAAAACCAUCCGAAUCGAUAAUUCACUGUUAGAGACGAGAGACUAAUUUUUUCAAAUGAUCGUACCUAAUUCACUCAUCGUUGCCAGGCACGAGAAAAAGUGGAUAUAUAGAGGCGCGAGAACAGCAUGCUUUCGACAAUCGUCAACGAGAUACGUCGGUCCACGCAAUGACGUCAGAGGCUGGUCCAAUCCUGUCGAAUACGUCCGUGGCCCGAUCUCACCCUAUUGAGCGAGAGAGAAAGGAAGAUGCGGUGUAUACAUACAUAAGGUAAGCUAGACAAAGACGGAAUGACAGGUAUAUAGAUAUCGACAGGGAGAAAAGAGACAGAGAAAGAGAGUCGCAGAGGGACGCAAGAGCCAGCAAAUAAGAGCACAGUCCGACAAAUAGAAGGAGAAGACAGUUCGAGUUCCGCUCUCCUGCUCUUACGAGACGUUGUGCACGCUGAUUCAAGCCUUGCGAUAUUGUUGCCAGAAUUGUUCAUUAUAAUUUACAAUGUUCAGAAUAUUCCUGAUGUGAUCGUUGAGACAAAUCCUGAUUUUCUAUGACAUAUGACGCGUUCGAGCACAAAUACAUAUAAGUAUUUUUCAUACAUGACAAAUUAUUUUUCAUGCAAAAGAACGAAAGAGGUUAUGCGACAACAAUUGAGAAAAGAAAGUAUUGAAACACCUACAUAUUUUCUAUUCUAUUCAAAUGCCUAAACUAGAAGUUCAUUAAAUGUUAUAGCUUUAACAGACAUGAUCGACAACGUAAAAUAAUUUUAACUGUGUUUUAUAUUUUUACCGUCCACAAAUUACGAAAGAGAUUCAAUGCUAGCUUGAUGUUAGAGUUAGAAUUUAAAAUUUCCAGUAAAAAUCCCGUCUUUCGAACUUCAUUGCAUAUUUAUCGACUAGCAGUAAUAAAUGGACUUACAAAUUA